UUCCUGUCCAACGUUAAUCGGGGCAGGGUGAGUCGACCCCUAAGGCGAGGCCGAAAGGCGUAGUCGAUGGGAAACGGGUUAAUAUUCCCGUACUUGGUGUUACUGCGAAGGGGGGACGGAGAAGGCUAUGUUGGCCGGGCGACGGUUGUCCCGGUUUAAGCGUGUAGGUGUGUGUUCCAGGUAAAUCCGGUUCACUUUAACACUGAGGCGUGAUGACGAGGCACUACGGUGCUGAAGCAACAAAUGCCCUGCUUCCAGGAAAAGCCUCUAAGCAUCAGGUAACAUCAAAUCGUACCCCAAACCGACACAGGUGGUCAGGUAGAGAAUACCAAGGCGCUUGAGAGAACUCGGGUGAAGGAACUAGGCAAAAUGGUGCCGUAACUUCGGGAGAAGGCACGCUGACACGUAGGUGAAGUGAUUUACUCAUGGAGCUGAAGUCAGUCGAAGAUACCAGCUGGCUGCAACUGUUUAUUAAAAACACAGCACUGUGCAAACACGAAAGUGGACGUAUACGGUGUGACGCCUGCCCGGUGCCGGAAGGUUAAUUGAUGGGGUCAGCGCAAGCGAAGCUCCUGAUCGAAGCCCCGGUAAACGGCGGCCGUAACUAUAACGGUCCUAAGGUAGCGAAAUUCCUUGUCGGGUAAGUUCCGACCUGCACGAAUGGCGUAAUGAUGGCCAGGCUGUCUCCACCCGAGACUCAGUGAAAUUGAACUCGCUGUGAAGAUGCAGUGUACCCGCGGCAAGACGGAAAGACCCCGUGAACCUUUACUAUAGCUUGACACUGAACAUUGAGCCUUGAUGUGUAGGAUAGGUGGGAGGCUUUGAAGUGUGGACGCCAGUCUGCAUGGAGCCGGCCUUGAAAUACCACCCUUUAAUGUUUGAUGUUCUAACGUGGACCCGUGAUCCGGGUUGCGGACAGUGUCUGGUGGGUAGUUUGACUGGGGCGGUCUCCUCCUAAAGAGUAACGGAGGAGCACGAAGGUUGGCUAAUCCUGGUCGGACAUCAGGAGGUUAGUGCAAUGGCAUAAGCCAGCUUGACUGCGAGCGUGACGGCGCGAGCAGGUGCGAAAGCAGGUCAUAGUGAUCCGGUGGUUCUGAAUGGAAGGGCCAUCGCUCAACGGAUAAAAGGUACUCCGGGGAUAACAGGCUGAUACCGCCCAAGAGUUCAUAUCGACGGCGGUGUUUGGCACCUCGAUGUCGGCUCAUCACAUCCUGGGGCUGAAGUAGGUCCCAAGGGUAUGGCUGUUCGCCAUUUAAAGUGGUACGCGAGCUGGGUUUAGAACGUCGUGAGACAGUUCGGUCCCUAUCUGCCGUGGGCGCUGGAGAACUGAGGGGGGCUGCUCCUAGUACGAGAGGACCGGAGUGGACGCAUCACUGGUGUUCGGGUUGUCAUGCCAAUGGCACUGCCCGGUAGCUAAAUGCGGAAGAGAUAAGUGCUGAAAGCAUCUAAGCACGAAACUUGCCCCGAGAUGAGUUCUCCCUGAGACUUUAGGUCUCCUGAAGGAACGUUGAAGACGACGACGUUGAUAGGCCGGGUGUGUAAGCGCAGCGAUGCGUUGAGCUAACCGGUACUAAUGAACCGUGAGGCUUAACCUUACA
rnacentral:rRNA from 1 species